GGCCAGCUGACCCAGUUGGCGUGUGUUGUCGAUGUUACGGACUACCUGUCUGCUGAGAUCUCCACCCUCAAACAGAAGAAAUUCAACAUGGUGACGUUCGCGGACAUCGCGGGCCUGUUGAACCGGGACAGGCCUCCCUUUGAUGUCAACUGCGCUAUCACCUCAUUUGGGGAGCAGGCAGACCUGGUUUUGUGUUCUUUGACCCCAUGGGCCAGGCGCUGUGCUAGCGCACGCUCAACAUCAUGAAGAAACUUAGCGAUAAGAUUGCGGACAAUCUGCGAUUCUACCUCAGCAAGGCAGUCGAAGCCGGGAGGGAGCUGGACAGACAGAAUUACCACAACAAUUGGCGACGAGGAUGGGACGCUAACUCCGCUUACUGAUCGUUCCUGAGGAGACCGAGGUUAACUGCGCACAGGGGCACAUUCAGAUUAAGCGCAGCAUAAAGGGACCUGCCUCCGACUGGCAGGGAGCGUCAGUGAGUGGAUACAGUGGUUCCUCCUUUAAAAGUUGCGAAUUUAUACCACGGGAUUUAGAGGUACCCAUCCUCAUGGCGUCAUUGCUCCAGACCACCACAAGGGGGAGUUACAGCACUCAUUAUGCAUUUGGGUCCCAAGGUUUUUAUAUGACCAAUCAUAUAGAGUGGUUUCAAUUACGAAUUUGACGCGAGCUACCCGUCCCUGGUGACUUUCUUCAGCAAAGAAGGCUAACAUAACAUUACGGGGGAAGCAAAUUUAAGUAAUUGUAACAUCAUAACGAGUCAAGCAAAAAAUGUACAAUUGAGAGGAAUAUUUUAGUUAAUGUAGAGACAAACGAUUGUGCAUAUUUUUUUGUCAUAAAGUUAAUUUACAAAAAUCGCUAUUUAGCAAGUUACCUAACUAGCUAACAUUAGCCAGAUAGUUAGCUGGUGUUAUGACAUGAGUAUGACAUUCUAAUUCGUGUUGUUUAAUGUUUUAGGGACUCCUGAGAAAACCCGCAAACCAGGCUGUCAUCAUGAGACACAGUGGAAAGAAUCUAGCUAGCUAAAGCAUUUACUGCAAAUUGAAUGUACAAAUGUGUAAGCUUGCCUUGCCGUGCAAUGCAGCGGAAGUAACAUAGCUAGCUAACUAUUUAACGGUAACUAACACACUUUUGUACAUCGCACUGGUCCGUGCAAUUGACCUUAUUUUAGCGCCCCAAAAAUGUAAUACUUCCAGAUCAACUGUAAUAUCAAUACCAUUGUAAAGCACAAUUUAUCCCAUCUUUAACAAACCAAUGAUGAGACCUUCAUGAUGCCCAUCUCUGCAUGAUUCAAGAAGGCAAUGAGCUCCGUCUGGUCUUUUUAAAAAUGGCAGGUGGGGAAGUGAAACCUACUGCGUGAUAGUGAAAGGGGAAACAUCUUUUUUCACCUGUCCAACUUAUCACCUUAUCACCUCUAAAAUGAAAAGAAAACACUGUGAAGAGUUUAUAUAACUUGUUAUUCCAUACCUAUUUGUAGGUUUGUGUCGAAUUUGAAUGGGGUUUUUAGGGCAGCGCUAAAGUUAACAGCGGCUUUUGAGAGUCAUGAUGGCUUGCAGUUAUGACGCAAAAAAUGACUAAUGUUAUCCCCCUUACCCUGUCCCUUUCUUAUUUUUAAGAGGUGAGAUAAGCGCUACACCUGGUGGAGAGAGGCUGUAAGACACAGAAUUAGUUGGUUUACGUGUGCUGUACGUUACGUCAUGACACGACACAAUUUAAAGUACAGCGUCGGAGUGGUCCGUUUUUUCAACUUUCACUCCAAUACUAUUGAUCCAUUACCAUGUCAAUCAACGCAUGAAUAGAAACGUAGUUCACACCCCAGAUUUUGAUGUCAAUACAGUUGCUGCAGUCCCAUUAGUUUUCAUUGCAGCCUCAUUUGAAUGUCGUGGUUGCUCAAAUCUGUACGGAAUGGGGUUAGUCACCAUUACUUGCUUAUUGUGUAGUGGAGGAUUAGAACAACUGUAUGCCUAUGGAUGUGUAGCUAGCUACAGUAUGUAGCCGAUCUGUGUAUGGACCCUAAAAUGUUAGGUUCUGAACUAAUAUUCAUACCAAUCUAUGAACCUCAGCUAUCAUAGUUGUUGCAUCAACUUCAAGUCUGAAUGGCAUUAAUGAAGCCUAUGGAUUGUGUUGAAUAUAAUAAGUUUAUUGUGCCAAGGAUGCAAGUCCUAUAUACAUGUACUGUAGUUAUUACCACGCAUGAGAUCCCAACAUUGUAGCCUGUACAUUGAAUAUAUUCACUGAUCAUGUACUCUUCCUUGGCAAUUAAAGGUGCAGUUCAGGUAUGAAUCUCUGUGAGACAUUCUUUUUCAGUCAUAUCCAAUACCAGGUGUAUCAAACUCCAUUCAUUGAAUGAUGCUGUGUCUGCAUGUAUGUACUACAAUUAUACACUUCAACAGUGUUUACCACUCCUGCACCUGGGGCAUCAAUGA